ensembl:lncRNA
AUCUUUGCUAGAAUUUGAACUUCCAUUUGAAGACUCUCUGGGUGCCUGCUCGCCCUUUCUUCUCUCUACUUACUCCCAUAUACCUUGUCCUUAUUUCUGUGUAUCCAAUUCUGUGUCCAUUAUUCCAUUUUGUCUUGUUUUGUCAGCUCUGCAGUCCAAAGAUGGAGAAGCUCUAUACAGUCAGCAAAAACAAGAAUGGGAGCUGACUGUGCUUUGGAUCAUGAACUCCUUAUUGCCAAAUACAGACUGAAAUUGAACAAAGUGGAGAAAACCUCUGGAACAUUCAGAACCACUGAGGGCCAAGUCCUGCUGAUCCAAGCCCUUCCAAGAUAUUAAUAGAACUUCCUUCAGCUCAGCUGGCUUCAAGUAAACCAAGAGAGAGUAUUCUGCAAAGACUCAAUCUCUAUCCACCAAUCCUCCCAUCCCCUAAACUCCUAGGUUUCUAGAAAAAGCAAUAUCUGAGGUCCAAUCAGACAGUUCCUUACAGAGGCAGGGUCUCCACUAUGU